CUGGUAGUCCACGCCGUAAACGAUUGAGUGCUAAGUGUUAGAGGGUUUCCGCCCUUUAGUGCUGCAGCUUAACGCAUUAAGCACUCCGCCUGGGGAGUACGGCCGCAAGGCUGAAACUCAAAGGAAUUGACGGGGGCCCCGCACAAGCGGUGGAGCUUGUGGUUUAAUUCGAAGCAACGCGAAGAACCUUACCAGGUCUUGACAUCCUCUGACACUCCUAGAGAUAGGACGUUCCCCUUCGGGGGACAGAGUGACAGGUGGUGCAUGGUUGUCGUCAGCUCGUGUCGUGAGAUGUUGGGUUAAGUCCCGCAACGAGCGCAACCCUUGAUCUUAGUUGCCAGCAUUCAGUUGGGCACUCUAAGGUGACUGCCGGUGACAAACCGGAGGAAGGUGGGGAUGACGUCAAAUCAUCAUGCCUCUUAUGACCUGGGCUACACACGUGCUACAAUGGAUGGUACAAAGGGCAGCGAAGCCGCGAGGUGGAGCCAAUCCCAUAAAACCAUUCUCAGUUCGGAUUGCAGGCUGCAACUCGCCUGCAUGAAGCCGGAAUCGCUAGUAAUCGCGGAUCAGCAUGCCGCGGUGAAUACGUUCCCGGGCCUGGUACACACCGCCCGUCACACCACGAGAGUUUGUAACACCCGAAGUCGGUGGGGUAACCGCAAGGAGCCA
rnacentral:rRNA from 1 species